CUCAGGAUGAACGCUGGCGGCGUGCUUAACACAUGCAAGUCGAACGGUGAAGCAGGAGCUUGCUCUUGUGGAUCAGUGGCGAACGGGUGAGUAACACGUGAGCAACCUGCCCCUGACUCUGGGAUAAGCGCUGGAAACGGCGUCUAAUACUGGAUAUGUGACGUGACCGCAUGGUCUGCGUUUGGAAAGAUUUUUCGGUUGGGGAUGGGCUCGCGGCCUAUCAGCUUGUUGGUGAGGUAAUGGCUCACCAAGGCGUCGACGGGUAGCCGGCCUGAGAGGGUGACCGGCCACACUGGGACUGAGACACGGCCCAGACUCCUACGGGAGGCAGCAGUGGGGAAUAUUGCACAAUGGGCGAAAGCCUGAUGCAGCAACGCCGCGUGAGGGAUGACGGCCUUCGGGUUGUAAACCUCUUUUAGCAGGGAAGAAGCGAAAGUGACGGUACCUGCAGAAAAAGCGCCGGCUAACUACGUGCCAGCAGCCGCGGUAAUACGUAGGGCGCAAGCGUUAUCCGGAAUUAUUGGGCGUAAAGAGCUCGUAGGCGGUUUGUCGCGUCUGCUGUGAAAUCCCGAGGCUCAACCUCGGGCCUGCAGUGGGUACGGGCAGACUAGAGUGCGGUAGGGGAGAUUGGAAUUCCUGGUGUAGCGGUGGAAUGCGCAGAUAUCAGGAGGAACACCGAUGGCGAAGGCAGAUCUCUGGGCCGUAACUGACGCUGAGGAGCGAAAGGGUGGGGAGCAAACAGGCUUAGAUACCCUGGUAGUCCACCCCGUAAACGUUGGGAACUAGUUGUGGGGUCCAUUCCACGGAUUCCGUGACGCAGCUAACGCAUUAA
rnacentral:rRNA from 2 species